UUUAUUUAUGUAUGUUUAUUCCAAACAUAACCUUAUAAACAAACAGUUGUUUAUUUAGAGUUAUUUAUUAUUGUUUUCUGAUAUUUUGCAAUUGUUAAGUUGGUUUACUUCGAAUUUAAUAUGCAUUACUGUGGUAUUUCUCCAGUUUUCUAAGAAGGUUGGUGAUUUUGAAUUGGGGUUAUGAUGAAUUUAACCCAAAGGCAAUGUGUGUUUAUUUAUGUGGCAAAAUUCCAGGCACCAUAAAAAUUUGAGUUUCUUCCUGUUGCCCAUGGAUGAAAAUCGGUUUGCAGAAUGAAAAGAAAUUGUUCAAUGUGAUAAACUUUCUAUGAACAGUCCUCAAUAUUGUUACAUUAACUUUUAAAUAUGCACUUUACAUCUUGAGGAGCAGGCCUUUGCAGAAAUACUGAAAAGCGGGUUGCAAAACAACGCAAAAUAAAAUAAACGAAAUAUGUCUUGAGAUUAAAGAUUCAAGUUGAAGGUGUGUUCUUUCUUAAACUGGAAUGAUAAUUUUGUAAUUCUGUAGGCACAUCUAUUGAGAAGUUACAACCAGUGGCAAAGUGCCUUAAGGGAAUCUAUGACAUAUAUAAUUGAAGGGACAUCUCCUCUGAAGGAAUUACAAUUAUUUGCCAGUAUGUCAAAUGAAUUUUCAACAUCAGUCAUACUUUCAUGAAUUUAUUGAUGAAAAUAAAACUAGGUACAUGAUUUA